GGGCCCGCACAAGCGGUGGAGCAUGUGGUUUAAUUCGAAGCAACGCGAAGAACCUUACCAAGGCUUGACAUGGACUUGACCGCCUAGGAAACUAGGGUUUCCCUUCGGGGACAGGUUCACAGGUGGUGCA
rnacentral:rRNA from 1 species